GUAUUAUAGUACUGUCUCUUUAAGCAUCAGGAUAUCCUCUUGUGUGGUGGGGGGACCUAACAGACAAACAGGAUUAUAGUACUGUCUCUUUAAGCAUCAGGAUAUCCUCUGUGGUGGGGGGACCUAACAGACAAACAGGAUUAUAGUACUGUCUCUUUAAGCACCAGGAUAUCCUCUGUGGUGGGGGGACCUAACAGACAAACAGGAUUAGAGCUAUGUCUCGUUAGGCUUCCCAUUAACAAAGCCAGCUCUAGCCAGUUUCCUCCACUAGCGACUAUCGUUCAUUACACGACAAACCAACCAGGCGACCUGACCUUGGCCCUCGUUGGACACCUCUAGAAUAAAAGCCAAUGGUAUUGGGAUUUGCCCUGGAUUAAAUUGACAUAUUGGACAAGGAGAGAUUUAUGUCUACUGUCCUAAAUCUUAAACCCACUCCAGGCCAGGGUCUAAUGUUUUAUACUGUAGAAUUCACCAUCUCUCCAUGACAAAACACAGCCAAGGUUACUUCACAUCUGAAGACAGA
rnacentral:lncRNA from 1 species